UGUAAAAUUGCUACAUGAGAAGACAAGUUGUUAGAUGAAAUUCAAAUAUUCUCUAUGUUUGUGUUGUGUAGGUCAAAAAAUAAUAAACAAAGAUGAUAUUGAUUGUGAUGACCAAGAGAUUCAUUUUAAGACACAUCAAUCUUCAUCAUCUUUAAAUAAAAAGGAUAAACAUUAUGGAUUUCCAUUAUCUCAAGCAAACUUUCAAUAUUAUGUGUUGCUUCUCUUAAAUGAGAUAAAAACCCAAGGAUGCAAAAAACUUUAUAUAAAAUAGUGUGAAGAAGAAGUAGUAACUGAAAUGAACAGCAUAAUAGAAUUUGAUAAGUUUGACUCAGCACUUGACAAUGUUUCAUCUAGUAACUCAGUAGUAUCUCUGCAGUUGUAAAUUGCUAAAUACUGAUUUGACAGAAACAAAGAGUUCAAAAUAUUAGUGGUAAGAACUGUCAAAAACUUGUGAUAGCUAUGAAGAAGAGAUUUAUGACAAAUUCGCUCAUGGCCAAAUCUAAUAUGGCAGCUGGAAAAGGCAAAGGAUCUUUUU
rnacentral:lncRNA from 1 species